rnacentral:tRNA from 1 species
GGUGAAGUAACUCAGUUGUAUAGUGUGUUGCUUUUCCACAUGCAUGACCUAGGUUUGAACCUAGCUCCACCA